UGGGGAAUAUUGCACAAUGGGCGCAAGCCUGAUGCAGCCAUGCCGCGUGUGUGAAGAAGGCCUUCGGGUUGUAAAGCACUUUCAGCGAGGAGGAAGGUGGUGAGCUUAAUACGCUCAUCAAUUGACGUUACUCGCAGAAGAAGCACCGGCUAACUCCGUGCCAGCAGCCGCGGUAAUACGGAGGGUGCAAGCGUUAAUCGGAAUUACUGGGCGUAAAGCGCACGCAGGCGGUUUGUUAAGUCAGAUGUGAAAUCCCCGGGCUCAACCUGGGAACUGCAUUUGAAACUGGCAAGCUAGAGUCUCGUAGAGGGGGGUAGAAUUUCCAGGUGUAGCGGUGAAAUGCGUAGAGAUCUGGAGGAAUACCAGUGGCGAAGGCGGCCCCCUGGACGAAGACUGACGCUCAGGUGCGAAAGCGUGGGGANCAAACGGAUUAGANACCCUGGUAGUCCACGCUGUAAAACGUGUCGAUUUGGAGGUUGUGCCCUUGAGGCGUGGCUUCCAGAGCUAACGCGUUAAAUCGACCGCCUGGGGAGUACGGCCGCAAGGUUAAAACUCAAAGGAAUUGACGGGGUCAUAGCUGUUUCCUG
rnacentral:rRNA from 1 species